GACGAACGCUGGCGGCGUGCCUAAUACAUGCAAGUAGAACGCUGAAGAGAGGAGCUUGCUCUUCUUGGAUGAGUUGCGAACGGGUGAGUAACGCGUAGGUAACCUGCCUUGUAGCGGGGGAUAACUAUUGGAAACGAUAGCUAAUACCGCAUAACAAUGGAUGACACAUGUCAUUUAUUUGAAAGGGGCAAUUGCUCCACUACAAGAUGGACCUGCGUUGUAUUAGCUAGUAGGUGAGGUAACGGCUCACCUAGGCGACGAUACAUAGCCGACCUGAGAGGGUGAUCGGCCACACUGGGACUGAGACACGGCCCAGACUCCUACGGGAGGCAGCAGUAGGGAAUCUUCGGCAAUGGGGGCAACCCCGACCGAGCAACGCCGCGUGAGUGAAGAAGGUUUUCGGAUCGUAAAGCUCUGUUGUAAGUCAAGAACGAGUGUGAGAGUGGAAAGUUCACACUGUGACGGUAGCUUACCAGAAAGGGACGGCUAACUACGUGCCAGCAGCCGCGGUAAUACGUAGGUCCCGAGCGUUGUCCGGAUUUAUUGGGCGUAAAGCGAGCGCAGGCGGUUUGAUAAGUCUGAAGUUAAAGGCUGUGGCUCAACCAUAGUUCGCUUUGGAAACUGUCAAACUUGAGUGCAGAAGGGGAGAGUGGAAUUCCAUGUGUAGCGGUGAAAUGCGUAGAUAUAUGGAGGAACACCGGUGGCGAAAGCGGCUCUCUGGUCUGUAACUGACGCUGAGGCUCGAAAGCGUGGGGAGCGAACAGG
rnacentral:rRNA from 1 species